AUUGAACGCUGGCGGCAGGCUUAACACAUGCAAGUCGAACGAGUGGCGGACGGGUGAGUAAUGCUUGGGAAUCUAGCUUAUGGAGGGGGAUAACUACUGGAAACUGUAGCUAAUACCGCGUACCAUAGGAUGAGCCCAAGUGGGAUUAGGUCGUUGGUGAGGUAACGGAUCACCAAGCCGACGAUCUCUAGCUGGUCUGAGAGGAUGACCAGCCACACUGGGACUGAUACACGGCCCAGACUCCUACGGGAGGCAGCAGUGGGGAAUAUUGCACAAUGGGCGCAAGCCUGAUGCAGCCAUGCCGCGUGUAUGAAGAAGGCCUUCGGGUUGUAAAGUACUUUCAGUCGGGAGGCGUUACCGACAGAAGAAGCACCGGCUAACUCCGUGCCAGCAGCCGCGGUAAUAC
rnacentral:rRNA from 1 species